CUCCAUUUGCAUAUGCAUUUUUGUUGAUGAUCGAAGAAUUUUGUUGUGUAUUUUCAACUUGAUUUCGUAAUUUAUCAACUGAUUUAGUAAAAGGUUAGUUCUUUAUCCCUUAUUUCGAGUUUUUGCUUUAUUCCUUAGGGUUUUUGUUGAUUCGUGAAAUUAAGAGCAACAUUGAGUCUGAUUCAUCAAUACAAAGCUUAUUCAAGUUUUCAUUUGCCAUUUUUGAUGAAUUUCGAGAAAAUUCAAAAUUCAUAUUAGAGACCUAAAUAAGAAAUUAGAGCAGAUUACAAACCCUAAGUUCAAGAUUUGAAGUAGAAAUGAACAUAAACAACUAAACCCUACUUAUUUUUGAGAGAAAAUCGUGAUUUUUUUUUAUAAAAGGAACAAGGGUUAAUGGUGGGGAAGAGGAAAUAGUGGUUUAUUUAAUGGUGGGGAAGAUGAUCGUUGGAGAAAGAGAAAAUUUUCGUCAAAAUUUAAGGUGUUCUCACCUUCUAACGCGCUUAGAUGAGGUGUUCUCAUCUCAUAUGACAGGUCAGCGUUUAAGUGUGUAGAAAAUAGAGAAAUAUGAAGUUCAGGGGUAAUAGGACACCCGUGAAGUUGGAGUGUGUAGUUGGGAUUUCAAGUAUAGAUUGGGAGGGUUUUAGACCAUUUUCUCUUGUUUUGACUUUAAAACUCUUUCAUUGGUAUCAGAACAGUUAUUUUUUAAAUUUUAGCCUAUUUAAAUAUUAGACUAAUAUGCAAUUCAAAUUGAUUGAGGAUAAACUUUGUCGUCUAAAUAUUUUUUAGAAGACAUUUAAUUUUUUUUUGAUAUGUGUUAUAAAAUCAAGCUUAGAAUAAUAUAAUAUAAAGUGAACAAGACAAGUUAAGUAGAGAAAGGAAAAUAGUUUUCUUCUAUUCGAGUGUGUCAUCCAAAUGUUGAAUGAUAUCUCUAUCUAUAAUGUUGAGAUAUCACUCCCAAAGGUAACCAAACUAGUAGAUACAUAGUUAUCCAAAAAGGUUUUUUAUCACCUUGGAAGUAUACAUACAUGAAUUCAAUUAAUUCUUGAAUAAAUCAAAUGAAAAUCCACAAUUCAAUGUAUUCAUAAAAUAUGUUAUAUAGUCACAAUAACAAUAAUUAUUAGGUUGUGACACCCUAUCUUAAAAUACGAAGUCUCAUAUAGACAAAACAGAUGAGAGAUGUUGAGUAUAUAAAUAAGCAGACUUUACCUAUUAUUGAUGCAUUUUAAAGUCGUGUAGGCUUAGGCCCAAAGCGGAUAAUAUCAAUAGAGAGUUGAAAUGGUAUAAAUGGUAUCAGAGCUACUCUUAUAUCAAUGCCGCUCUUGUGUCAGCAAAACUAGUAGAGAUGUUGGAAAUAUAAGUAAGCAUGUCUUAUAUCUACUAGAACGCAUUUGAAAGUUGUGCAGGCCUAGUGCCAGAACGGACAAUAUCACUACUGACUUGGAUAGUUACAUAAGUACUUAAGCAAAUUAAAAAAACAGACAAAAAAAUUAUAUUUGGCUUGCGUUUGGACAUACGAUAUGAAGUCAUUAUUUUAAAUCAGUGUUUAGACAUAUGAUUUGAGAUCAUGAUUUCAAAUCAUAUUCCAAACUUUCCAAACAACAUAAUUUGAGAUUCUAAAUCGUGAUUUCAAAUAUAUAUAACUUGACCCAUAAAUUUAUAUUUUGUAAAAAAAAUACCCAGUAUUUUAAAUUUUGUAAAAAAGCUCUGAAGGAUAUUGUUUAUACCACGUGAAAUAAUUAUUUUAAAGAACAACUAGUUACUACAAUUGUUGACUAAUAGAAUCUCUGUUGGUUAUGAAGGAUAUUGUUUGUUUCUCCUUUUUGUUGUCUCAGAUUGUUUUGUCUUUAUAUUUCUGUUUGUUUGUGUUAUUUUAGUUUUAGGCCAUUAGGUGGAUUUGGUCUGUUUGGAAUUUGUACGUUAUCCGGGUGGUUCUUGUACUUAUUUGCUUUGUUCAUUAACAAAAUCGCCUUUCGGCUUAUUUAUCUUUUUUUAAAAAAGAUUAAUGAAUUUUCAUAAAAUUAUGUAUAUUUAAAAUUUUGUGAUCACAAAUUUAUUUAUAUAGAGAUAUGUGAAUUAUCAAUGCGGCACAUUAGGAUAUUAAUAUUUAAUAUUCUAUUUAUGAACUAUGGUAAGCUCAUUUGCUAGAAUAAAAUUUAAGAAAAUUUUGAUAGUUCUCAUAAGUUAUGAAGUUUUUAUGUUUAUGAUAAAAAAUACAACUUAGUCUUUUUUGUUCUUCCAUUCUUACUGAAUGGCCUUUUAAGACAAGUUAAGAAGGUAGAAGAGACCAAAAUGAAACAGAAAAUGAACUUUUUUUUAUCAACACAAUAUAUUCUAUGUUGUACACAAUAUUAAGCAUAUAUACCUUUCAGUUUUCACUAUAAAUAUCAGCAGUACUGGUCCUAAGUCUUCUACUGCCUAAACAACAAAAAAAUUGAGAAAAAGAAAAAGAUGAUGUAUUCCUGUAAUUUUGUUUUUUAAUCUAAGGUGAAAAAAUAAAUAAACUUCGCGUUUAAAUUCAUUUGAAAAACUAAUGAAUUCAUCACAUCAUCGGCCUUCUUCAACUGUGAUUGUCAACUCAAUUUUGGUGAAGCUAGGUGGUGUACCAGAUGAAACAGAAGUUGAAUUAGACACAUUUCUCCUUGACACAAAAGCAGGUUGAUUAGGCUUUGGAAGAGACGUACUAUCACUACGAAGCAUCAUUACAACAUUUGACAUGGAAGGACGAUCACCUGGAUCUUCUUGCACACAUAAGAGCCCAAC
rnacentral:lncRNA from 1 species